rnacentral:tRNA from 1 species
AAGCCUAUAACUCAGUUGGUUUAGAGUAUACGCCUGAUAAGCGUAAAGUCAGUAGUUCAAAUCUACUUAGGCUUA